rnacentral:lncRNA from 1 species
UCCAAAAUGUAUGAAGAACGCUUAAAACUCAACAGUAAGAAAAUGAACUUUAUCCAUUUAAAAACUGGGCCAAAUAUAUGAACAGAUACCUCACCAAAGAAGACACACAGAUGGCAAACAUACGAGAUGUUCAAUAUCAUGUCAUUAGGAAAUUGCAAAUUAAGACAUCACAACAUACCUGUUAGAAUGGCCAAAAUCCCAAAAUGCUGUCAGCACCGGAUGCUGGUGAGGAUGUGGAGCAACAGGAACUCUCAUUCACUGCUGGGGGGAAUGCAAAAUGGUACUGCCACUUUGGAAGACAGUUUGGCAGUUUCUUACAGACAUACUCUUACCAUAUGAUCCAGCAAUUACACUCCUUCCUAUUUACCCAAAUGAAUUGAAAACUUAUGUCCACACAAAAACAUGCACACAGAUGUUGAUAGCAGCUUUAUUCAUAAUUGCCAAAACUUGAAGGCAACUAAGGUGUCUUUCAGUAGGAGAAUGGAUAAACUGGUACGUCCAGACAAUGGAUUAUAUUCAGCACUGAAAAAAAAGAGCUAUCCACUCAUGAAAAGACUACAUACUGUGUGAUUCCAACUCUAUGACAUUCAGGAAAGGGAAAAACCAUGGAGACAGUAAAAGGUAAGUGGUUGCCAGGGAUUGAGAGGAAGGAGGGAUGAAUAGGUGGGGCCCAGAGGAUUUUUACGGUAAACUCCUCUGCAUGAUAAUGCAAUGGUGGAUCCAUGUCAUUAUACACUUGUCCAAGCCCAUAGAAUGUGCAACACCAAAAGUGAACCCUAAACUAUGGACUUGGGAGGAUGAUGUACCAAUGUAGUCAAUUGAUUGAAACAAAUGUACCAGUCUGGUGGGGGGAAGUCAAUAGUGGAGGAGGCUGUGCACGUGUUGGGGUAGGGAGGAUAUGGAAACUCUACUUUUUGGGCAAUUUUGCCGUGAACAUAAAACAGCUCUGAAAAUAUAAUUAAUUAAAAAAAUAGUUCAAAAUUCCUUUUUGAGACGGAGUCUCACUCUGUCGCCCAGGAUGGAGUGCAGUCGCGCGAUCUCAGCUCACUGCAAGCUCCGCCUCCUGGGUUCACGCCAUUCUC